rnacentral:rRNA from 1 species
GACGAACGCUGGCGGCAGGCUUAACACAUGCAAGUCGAACGGUUGUAGCAAUACAGCAGUGGCAGACGGGUGAGUAACACGUGGGAACCUUCCUAGGGGUACGGAACAACUCAGGGAAACUUGAGCUAAUACCGUAUACGUCCGUGAGGAGAAAGAUUUAUCGCCCUUAGACGGGCCCGCGUCGGAUUAGCUAGUUGGUGGGGUAACGGCCUACCAAGGCGACGAUCCGUAGCUGAUCUUAGAGGAUGAUCAGCCACACUGGGACUGAGACACGGCCCAGACUCCUACGGGAGGCAGCAGUGGGGAAUCUUGGACAAUGGGCGCAAGCCUGAUCCAGCCAUGCCGCGUGAGUGAAGAAGGUCUUCGGAUUGUAAAGCUCUUUUGCCAGGGACGAUAAUGACGGUACCUGGAGAAUAAGCCCCCGGCAAACUUCGUGCCAGCAGCCGCGGUAAU